rnacentral:rRNA from 1 species
UACACUCCUACGGGAGGCAGCAGUGGGGAAUUUUGGACAAUGGGCGAAAGCCUGAUCCAGCCAUGCCGCGUGCAGGAUGAAGGCCUUCGGGUUGUAAACUGCUUUUGUACGGAACGAAACGGCCUUUUCUAAUAAAGAGGGCUAAUGACGGUACCGUAAGAAUAAGCACCGGCUAACUACGUGCCAGCAGCCGCGGUAAUACGUAGGGUGCAAGCGUUAAUCGGAAUUACUGGGCGUAAAGCGUGCGCAGGCGGUUAUGUAAGACAGUUGUGAAAUCCCCGGGCUCAACCUGGGAACUGCAUCUGUGACUGCAUAGCUAGAGUACGGUAGAGGGGGAUGGAAUUCCGCGUGUAGCAGUGAAAUGCGUAGAUAUGCGGAGGAACACCGAUGGCGAAGGCAAUCCCCUGGACCUGUACUGACGCUCAUGCACGAAAGCGUGGGGAGCAAACAGGAUUAGAUACCCCGGUAGUCCCAUG